rnacentral:tRNA from 1 species
AGGGGUGUCGCCUAGCGGCCCAAGGCUCUAGUCUCCAAAACUAGCAUCGCAGGUUCAAAUCCUGUCACCCCUGC